rnacentral:rRNA from 1 species
UACGGAGGGUGCAAGCGUUAUCCGGAUUCACUGGGUUUAAAGGGUCCGUAGGCGGUUUAAUAAGUCAGUGGUGAAAGCCCAUCGCUCAACGGUGGAACGGCCAUUGAUACUGUUAAACUUGAAUUAUUAGGAAGUAACUAGAAUAUGUAGUGUAGCGGUGAAAUGCUUAUAGAUUACAUGGAAUACCAAUUGCGAAGGCAGGUUACUACUAAUGGAUUGACGCUGAUGGACGAAAGCGUGGGUAGCGAACAGG